AGACCGUGAUAUGGACAUCUUCGUUAUAGUUUCCUAAAUCACUCCCAUGCUUCGUACAAAGAUUCUCCCACCUACUGACAAAAGCUAGUUAUAUCCAUUUUU